GUGAAUCAUCAAAUCUUUGAACGCACAUUGCACUCUCCUCGGUGAGUAUGCCUGUUUGAGGGUCAGCCUAUAUAAAAACGACAGCGUUGCUGCUUCGCGGCGGCGUUCGUCGGAACUUGGGUCAUCUUCAAUCUUUUGGUUUUAAGCGACUUAAAAUUUUCUUAUUGGUUCCAUGAACGUUUCCAAGAUAUAUUUCUUUACUCGCUUAAGGUAUCGAUCUGUAUCAGACGUGAUCAUCAUAUCGGAGCGCGCGCAU
rnacentral:misc_RNA from 1 species